UACGGGGGGGUGCGAGCGUUGUCCGGAAUCACUGGGCGUAAAGGGCGCGUAGGUGGUCUGAUAAGGGUGUGGUGAAAGCCCGGGGCUCAACUCCGGGUCGGCCGUGCGAACUGGGGGACUGGAGCUUGUCAGAGGCAGGCGGAAGUUCCGGGUGUAGCGGUGGAAUGCGUAGAGAUCCGGAAGAACACCGGAGGCGAAGGCGGCUUGCUGGGCGUAGUCUGACGCUGAGGCGCGAAAGCGUGGGGAGCAAACAGG
rnacentral:rRNA from 1 species